CACGUAGGGGGCAAGCGUUGUCCGGAUUUAUUGGGCGUAAAGAGCUCGUAGGUGGUUCGGUAAGUCGGGUGUGAAACCUCCAGGCUCAACCUGGAGACGCCACCCGAUACUGCUGUGACUGGAGUCCGGUAGGGGAGCGUGGAAUUCCUGGUGUAGCGGUGAAAUGCGCAGAUAUCAGGAGGAACACCAAUGGCGAAGGCAGCUCGCUGGGACGUGACUGACGCUGAGACGCGAAAGCGUGGGGAGCAAACAGG
rnacentral:rRNA from 1 species